CCGCCAGAAAAAGCUUGGGUAUGGCUGCUUGGUAGAUGAGCACAUCUUCGCAGCCCUCAGUUCAAUCCUGCCCCGAGUUUGUGCAGUAUGCAAUGUUAAGUUCAGUGAAGUGCCAUGGCACUUCACAGGGAAUUAAUAAGCAUCUGGGAGGACAGCCUGAGGAGGUCCACCAAUGUAAUCGAGAACUGGAAGGCCUAAUCAACAUUUGCUUCCCACCCGGAGGCCCCCACAGCUACCCAGCCCUGGUCCGCCCAGUAAUGGAUGGAAAAUCAGUCAUUUCCUGACAGUCAGCAACCAAUUUUCUACCAAUUAGAAGAGAGAUGGUGGUCUCUGGAGGAAGCUGGAUGGCUCCACUGCACAGAGCUGGGAGGAAGAGAGGUGAUCCUAGGAACACCAGAGAACUGAAACCUGGCUGGGGGGGUCUCCUCCCCACUCCCCUCAUUCCUCAGCUAUUCCCUCCCCAGGUCAGCUUGUAUCAGCAGAAGGCGACUUCAGGAGCCAGGGGCCCUGGCGCCUCCAUGGAAACUCUUCCUACUCAGUGACUCUGUUACACAAUAAAGCCACCGGCAAUGUCUGCCCCGAGGCCAGCGACGCGGCCUUCUCCCAGUGGGCCUCUCGGUGCCCAGGACAGUGGAGAAAUCCCUCCAAGGUGGUUGGCGUGAAGGCUGAAUGAGAACACCAGCUCUGGAGUUGGACAGUUGUGCCUUGAAAUCCGAAAUCUGUCUCUUCAGUUGUGUGUGACCUUGGGCAUAACAUCUACAUUUUCUGGGUCUUAGUUCCCUCUUUGGUAAAAUGGGGCUAGUUAUAGCACUGACCUGAUAAGAUAGUCAAGAAGAUUAAAUGAUGUAAGGUAGGUAAAGCACUUUAUAUCACAUAUCAUGAUGUUCAGUAAAUAGGUGCUAUUGUUGUUUUUCUAUUAUUUUUGUAAUGAAUACUAGUAUUAAUUAAUAUUAAUAACAAAUGCAUGUCAGGUGUUGUACUAAACACUGUGAGAACCAGUAUCCUACACAUUCUCAGACACUUCUCGAACUCGCUGUCCCUGUCCCUCAUUGUCUCCCACCUGGAUUACCACUGCAGGCAUCUCCCGUGAACCCCACACCAGUGCCAAAGGGAUCCCUCUGAAAUGCAGAUGAGACUGUGCCCAUGUCACUGGCUGGAUUAAGGUCUCACAAGCCCUGAGUCACCUCUUCCUGCCAACACCUCAGCUUCAUCUCUCCCUGCUCUGGCUCUAUUUCUUAUCAUCCUAAAAACAGAACUACUCCUUAACAGCCUCAGGCCUUUAGCAUCAGACUCACCUCUUGGAUAAAUGUGAGGGUUCAAUGGCAUAAAAAGAAGUCUUGUGCAUGCUACCUAGGCCUCCCUUACCAGCCUCCCCUGCCUGAUACCCUCCUGCUCCUCCUCCAGGACCCAGAGCUGAAGCCCCAAUCCCCCUCUUCCUUCAGGCUACAGUGGCCUCUUGUCAUGAGCUGUUUGGAUGUUUCCUGCCUUAGCCUGGAGCUCUUCAAGGAAAGAGGUCCAGUGGAGUUGGUCCUGUGCCUCUCACGGCACAAUAAAUUUGUCACCCUUCCCAGUUCCUACAUUCCUGGGCCUACAUUUUUUGUUAUUUCAUUACCCAUUCCACGCCACUUGUCUGCUUCUAGACCUUAGGACACCAGCAUGUGCAUUAGAAGAAGAUGUCCCUUCCUCUGCUCAGAUGCAGCUUCAUGCCAGGGGGUGUCUUGUGAGCAGAGCACUGGCUAGAUCUUGGCCCCAGCUUCCCUCCAGCCAGGCCCCUCAGUGCAGAGCACAACCUACAGUCACACACUUCCUCCAAGCUCCCACCAAGAGACCCAGCCAGUUACAUUUGGGGGAAACCUUUGACUCACAAUCACCCCAGCACCAGGAGCUAAUGGGCAUCCGCCUGUAGACUGUUUCUUUAUCUGAAAGGAAAUGGGUGUGGGAAAUUAUGAAACAAUCAUGGGAAUUGGGGUUGUUCUGUACAUAGGUUGGAAGGUAUAUAAGACAAGGGCCUUUCCAGCCUGCUGCUCAUGCCACCACUUCGGCAGAUGCACUCCUGCCAAGGGCUGGCCAGGCUCCCACGGAACGACUUUCAGCCAACUCACUUCCUUUCUUUUCCCUCUUUAGUCUUUGUGUUCUUAACUUCUGAGAUCCAUCCUCAAAGCUCCCUUCCCAACCUUGUACACCUUUGCACCCUUGAAGGUACACACAUGCUCAACUUCUGAAAUUAUUCACUGAAACUGGCUUCAGUUGUUGAAUUCCAGAGAAGCCCACCUGCCAGAAAGAGCAAGAUCAUAAACAAGCUGAAAGAUAAUGGAGAUUGACAGAAGUCUGUCUGAGCCAUGGUCACGUUCACAUGGUGUGCACUCCAGGACAUCAACUGAUAGGGCUUGGCCAGGCCAAGGCAGCCCCUAGUAACAUGAUGGAAAGCCUUGUUCUGAGAGAAAGAAGCUCACAGGAGAGCAGGCACUGGGGAAGACCCGAGGUCAUCUCCCCGACUCUCAGGGUCCUCAUGGGAGGAGGAAGCAGAUGCACCCCAGUGGCCUGGAGAGAACUAGGACCAACGGGGGCUGACAAAGGAGGUAGAUGUGUAUUCAGUAUUACCUCCCCAAUAGGCGAUCUUCAGAGGUAGUAGGCUCAAGGUCAUGAAGGUGGGAGAGCAAAUGCUGGAUGCCUUUGUUGGGCUGACCUUAGGGCCUUAAGAUGUGAUAAUUAUUUUGCUUCAUAGUCCAGGAUGCUGUGAGUCUAAGACACCACAUUGUUAAUUAGUAGUUGAUUCCAUUGUUACAUAAUCUUAAGGUGUUUUAUUUAACUCAGCAACUCAAAAAUCUAAGAUUUUAUUAUUCCCUGACUUCAGAACCCAAUAC